rnacentral:rRNA from 1 species
AUUACGGGAGGCAGCAGUGGGGAAUAUUGCACAAUGGGGGAAACCCUGAUGCAGCCAUGCCGCGUGUGUGAAGAAGGCCUUCGGGUUGUAAAGCACUUUCAGCGAGGAGGAAAGGUUGGUAGCUAAUAACUGCCAGCUGUGACGUUACUCGCAGAAGAAGCACCGGCUAACUCCGUGCCAGCAGCCGCGGUAAUAA